GAUGAAGAACGUAGUGAAAUGCGAUAAGUAGUGUGAAUUGCAGAAUUCAGUGAAUCAUCGAAUCUUUGAACGCACAUUGCGCCCCAUGGUAUUCCGGGGGGCAUGCCUGUUCGAGCGUCAUUUCACCACUCAAGCCUCGCUUGGUAUUGGGCAACGCGGUCCGCCGCGUGCCUCAAAUCGACCGGCUGGGUCUUCUGUCCCCUAAGCGUUGUGGAAACUAUUCGCUAAAGGGUGUUCGGGAGGCUACGCCGUAAAACAACCCCAUUUCUAAGGUUGACCUCGGAUCAGGUAGGGAUACCCGCUGAACUUAAGCAUAUCAAUAAGCGGAGGA
rnacentral:misc_RNA from 1 species